UGAGGAAUAUUUGGCAAUGCCCGCAAGGGUGACCCAGCAACGCCGCGUGGAGGAUGAAUGUCGUAAGAUUGUAAACUCCUGUUAGAGGGGAAGAAUAGUACCGGUUGGACCGGUAUAUGACUGUACCCUCAGAGAAAGCCCCGGCUAACUACGUGCAGCAGCCGCGGUAAUACGUAGGGGGCAAACGUUGUCCGGAUUUACUGGGUGUAAAGGGCGCGCAGGCGGGAUAAAAAGGCAGUGGUGAAAUCCUACAGCUUAACUGUAAAACUGCCUGUGAUACUUUUAUUCUUGAGUUCGGGAGAGAGAGACGGAAUUCCAGGUGUAGUGGUGAAAUACGUAGAUAUCUGGAAGAACACCAGUUGCGAAGGC
rnacentral:rRNA from 1 species